UUAGGGAGCGAAGCAAUUGGAAGUGGUUCCAAGAAAAGCCUCUAAGCUUCAGUCUAACGAUGACCGUACCGCAAACCGACACAGGUGGGCGAGAUGAGUAUUCUAAGGCGCUUGAGAGAACUCGGGAGAAGGAACUCGGCAAAUUGGUACCGUAACUUCGGGAUAAGGUACGCCCUUGUAGCUUGAUGCCCCUGCGGGCAAAGGGUGAAGGGGUUGCAAUAAACUGGUGGCUGCGACUGUUUAAUAAAAACACAGCACUCUGCAAACACGAAAGUGGACGUAUAGGGUGUGACGCCUGCCCGGUGCCGGAAGAUUAAAUGAUGGGGUGCAAGCUCUUGAUUGAAGUCCCGGUAAACGGCGGCCGUAACUAUAACGGUCCUAAGGUAGCGAAAUUCCUUGUCGGGUAAGUUCCGACCUGCACGAAUGGCGUAACGAUGGCCACACUGUCUCCUCCCGAGACUCAGCGAAGUUGAAGUGUUUGUGAUGAUGCAAUCUACCCGCGGCUAGACGGAAAGACCCCAUGAACCUUUACUGUAGCUUUGCAUUGGACUUUGAACCGAUCUGUGUAGGAUAGGUGGGAGGCUAUGAAACCGGAACGCUAGUUUCGGUGGAGCCGUCCUUGAAAUACCACCCUGGUUUGUUUGAGGUUCUAACCUUGGCCCGUGAUCCGGGUCGGGGACAGUGCAUGGUAGGCAGUUUGACUGGGGCGGUCUCCUCCCAAAGCGUAACGGAGGAGUACGAAGGUACGCUAGGUACGGUCGGAAAUCGUGCUGAUAGUGCAAUGGCAUAAGCGUGCUUAACUGCGAGACCGACAAGUCGAGCAGGUGCGAAAGCAGGUCAUAGUGAUCCGGUGGUUCUGUAUGGAAGGGCCAUCGCUCAACGGAUAAAAGGUACUCUGGGGAUAACAGGCUGAUACCGCCCAAGAGUUCAUAUCGACGGCGGUGUUUGGCACCUCGAUGUCGGCUCAUCUCAUCCUGGGGCUGUAGCCGGUCCCAAGGGUAUGGCUGUUCGCCAUUUAAAGAGGUACGUGAGCUGGGUUUAAAACGUCGUGAGACAGUUUGGUCCCUAUCUGCCGUGGGCGUUGGAUAUUUGAAGGGGGCUGCUCCUAGUACGAGAGGACCGGAGUGGACGAACCUCUGGUGUACCGGUUGUCACGCCAGUGGCAUCGCCGGGUAGCUAUGUUCGGAAGAGAUAACCGCUGAAAGCAUCUAAGCGGGAAACUCGCCUUAAGAUGAGAUAUCCCUGGGGACUAGAUCCCCUUGAAGGGUCGUUCGAGACCAGGACGUUGAUAGGUCAGGUGUGUAAGCGCAGUAAUGCGUUCAGCUAACUGAUACUAAUUGCCCGUAAGGCUUGAUCC
rnacentral:rRNA from 1 species